UUUUCCUACGGGGGGCAGCAGUGAGGAAUAUUGGUCAAUGGGCUUACACCUGAACCAGCCAAGUCGCGUGAGGGAAGACUGCCCUAUGGGUUGUAAACCUCUUUUGUCAGGGAGCAAUUGGCGCUACGUGUAGCGUUAUCGAGAGUACCUGAAGAAAAAGCAUCGGCCAACUCCGUGCCAGCAGCCGCGGUAAUACGGAGGAUGCGAGCGUUAUCCGGAUUUAUUGGGUUUAAAAGGGGCGUAGGCGGAAUGCCAAGUCAGC
rnacentral:rRNA from 1 species